UUUUCUGGCGCUCUCCAUGGUGUUUACCACAAUCUCUACGGCCAAAGGCGUUGUUCAAUGCAGUUGCAGAGGCUUGAGAAGCUAUGAGCAUUUUGCAUUUGAAGUCUUCGAUGGUUCGGUGGCUUAGUCUUUGAUCUUCCAGAAUGGGAGUUUGAUUGUGCAGAAGUGGAGAUUUGGGAGCUGGCUUGAUGGGAUUGAUUAACGAGCCUGAACCUGACUCACUGUUGUCAAGCUAACACAUUCGGAUAUUCCCGAGGAAGACAGAUAUUGGAAUGCGACUGUGGUGGAGAAAACAGAAAGAGGUUGGCGGGAUCUUAUUUUCCAGAGGAUACGGGCAGUUUUUGGUUUUGGAAUUUGAGAUACUUGGGUACCAGGAUGAAGGUUUUAGGUUGUUUUGUAGAACAGUGCCGGUUAUGUAUGGAAAAGAGUGUCAUGAAUGAAAUUAGGGUUGCAUACUUACGAGUUGAGCUUGGCGAAAUGUGGGGAGCUAUUAGUGUAGUUUGAGAUUUUGAGAGGUACAAAAGUGCUGGUUAUAUACACCUAUGUUCUUGGCUUGAAUUUCAUGAAAACAAAACCAUGUUCUUUUCUUGAAUUUCUUUUGGUUUAUUGUCAGCUUAUGAUGAUAACAGCGCCUAUGUUCUUAGGUUGAAUUGGUAACUUAUUGAUAUUUAUGGACUCUCAUGCCUUUGACUGACUCA